UCUUUUCUCUCCAUUUUUUGUACUUCUUUGUAAUAUUUGUUGUUUAUAUUGUACAAUGGCCUAAGACCUACAUUCUUUAUAUAUAUUACAUGUUUAUACCUUUUCAAUCCAUCAUUUCUGACUUUUCAUUCGUCAAAGUGUUAUUAGUAGUUUAAGUUUGUGAUAGUUCUUGAUAAGAAGUCUAGCUUAGAAUCCUUAUCGCAUUAGUUGAACUAUAUUCAUUGCUUACCCAGUGUCAAUCGCCAACUACCCGAGAGGGAAAAUAGCAAAGAUAAGGCUAAUGUGCAUAAGGAGAAGUUUGGACAAUAAACUUCACCUUGACGAGAUAACUUCCAUCAUUGUGUCCUGAAAGGAGAACAAUUGUGAACAUUAGGCGCCUAGAGGUUGCUGUUUUUAAUUGUGAAGUUCUAUUAGCAUUAUAAGUUAAUAUUUCUAGAUAUAUCUCAAUUAAUUAGUUUUAGUCAUGUAGAUACCGAAAGAAGACUAUGUGUGGCAUCCAAUGACUCUGAGAGGAAUACCCCUUAAUCAUAUGUCGAUUGAGUAAGUUUAAUCGUAUCAAGCCCUCACAUUGCUUAAUCGCCUAAUGGCGCGUAAACCUUCCAUCACUUUUUCUCACUUACAAGUUAGUUCACAUACAAUUCCAUUUUCUCCCUUUACAGAUUCUCUAGGUCUGCAUGAGUAGUUUUGAUCCUAGUUUUGAUUCUUUUAUGCCUUUUUAGUUAAUUCUCAUAAUGCCCAACUAGUGAGUAAUUCGCUAGAACUAAUGUCUAAAAACAAUUCUUUGUGUUUGACUCUAGAUCACCUAGGUAAACCUACUGUUUCGCUUGCACUUAGGCAAGCAGUAGAAAAGUUUGUACUCAACGAGACUUAAGAGUCAUGCGAUAAGGAGGGAAUUAUGAGCUCCUCAUAUGCUAUGAUCAUACCCUAUGACCCAUCGCCUACUAGGGAAGCAUGUGAUAUAGAGAGGUACAAUGAGGCCAUUACAUGCAAUGACCUAACACGAUGAUGUAUUGCAUUUGCAUUCAUCGCAACGAAAACUCUCAAGUCCUAGCCCUAAAUUGAGAAAAGACCACUGUCACAUUUGUCUCUCUAAAAAAAAACUUUUUCCAUCCCAAUUGGUUCUCACAAACCAAUCUCAUCCGAGAGGAUAGGAAGGUCUCCAAUGGGUAGUGCCCCAAUUUGGAGAUUUUUUUUUUUAGAUUCAGAGGUGUCAAGCUAUGUAAGUUUUUCUUCCUCUAAUCUAUUAUUAUUAAAGCAUGCUUAAAAAAAAUAGUUUCUUAAUUAUUUUUUGUCAAUGUAUUGGUAUUUUGAAAUUUUUAAAUUAAUUUGAGGAAUGGUUAUGUAAAAUCUUCCGCUGCCAUGGGCUUUUAUCCCUUCAUAUGUUUCUUGCCAAAUGGGGAACCGAGAACAAUAAUCAACAAUAACAAUAACAAAAUAAAUAAUAAAUAAUUUUAAAAAAUAAAAAUUAAGUUUUUAUCGACGCAUGGUCGACGUCGGUAUAAGUCACCUUCUCCGACGUCUUGACCAUGCGUCAGGAAAACACUUCUUCCGAUGUGACGUCGAUAUUCACUAUUCUGAUGUUCAACAAUUACGUCGGCUUUAGCUAUUUACCGAUGUCCUCCUUGCGUCGAUAAUCCCUGCGUCAAUGAUAAGGAUUCAUCGAUGUGGGCCAUAUACGAAGUGGGCCAAUGUUUUACUGAUGUAUUGUUCUCGACAUUGUUGCAACGUUUCAAAUUGCAUUAGUAAUAGUUUGGCCGACAUGUUUUUCAUCCUUCGUCAGCGCUUUUGUAUGUCAUUCAUUCCCUUGCUUCUUAUAUUGAUCCAUGUAUGUCUCUACAUACUGUUCAAUACUCAUCAAACAACUUAGGAUGUAGGUUUAUUGGAUUUUUGUUAUUAAGAUAAAACUAAUAAUAUGAUAAAUAUCAUUUAUUGAAAUUAUAAUAUUAACAUUUUAUUAAUUAAUAACGAUCAAUGAAUUUUAUUUAUUAUCAACGAGUUUUAGGACAGAAAUCCCAACACACAUGGGAUUAAAUACCAAAAUAAUGCUUUUUUGAAAACUUAUUACCAAAAUACGGUGGUUUUGAAACAUUUUUAUAUCAAGAGAACUUAGAAAUUCUUCUUUCUAGUACGCUCCCAGAAUGAGCCCUGGUUUUGAAACUUUUUACAUAAAUGUCGUUGAUUUUGACUUUUAUUUAAAAAGAAAAAAAGAAAGGGGACGAGUCUAUUUAAAAAAAAAAGAAAACCUACCAUUUCGUUCACAUGCAUGGAUAGAUGACAAUUAGGGCAGAAGGCAGAGGCGGGCAGAGGUAUGCAUUGGAGGCCAUGUCAAAGCUUUCUCGUGAAUGAAGGACGAGACUCACCCUUCUUCUUUAAUUCUCCUUCUUCUUUAAAUUCUUCUCACAUUCAUUUGCAGCAUUCCUCACCCCUCGAAAACCCUCUCGGCAUGACCCACAAGAACCCAUCCUUCAAAUUAUCUCUCCAUUUUCCUUUCCACUUUCCCUCAAAUCCCCAUCAUUAUUUUCAUCUCGUUCAUUCUUCUCCCAUCCAUUCUCCAUCACUUUCCCAUUAAUUUUGGGAUUUCGCUCAUCUCCUCCCAACAAAUUGAGGGUUUGAAAUUUAUUUGUAUUAGUUAAAUUCAGUUUUUUCUAAUUUAUUUAUAUAAACUUUGACUAGUAUUAUAUUUUCAGAUAUUUUUGUUGUUGUUGGAAAAAGAUAAUUACUACAUGAAAUAUCUGUAUCAUAAUAGACGUUUGCAUUAUUUUAGUUAUUAUCUUGUCUUAGCAUUUUUUUUUAAUAAAAUUUCAUAAAGAUUUUCGUACAAAUUCCCCAAAAGGUAGUUAUAAUCCGAUCCAACAACAGGGAUUCUUAGUAAAACUAGAAAUCCUCUAGAGAUGUAGAAAGAUGCAAGACUCUAUGCCGCUAUUUGCUAUAGUUGAAGUAUAUAUACACAUGUAAUGUUAAGAGGGGAGCAUUAAAUUCAUUUUAUUCCCCGUGCCAAAUUUUGCGGAAGAAAUAAAAAAAAAAAGAAUUCAUUUUGUAAGUUUUA
rnacentral:lncRNA from 1 species